GACGAACGCUGGCGGCGUGCUUAACACAUGCAAGUCGAACGGAAAGGCCUGCUUUCCCUUGUGGAUUGCGGGUACUCGAGUGGCGAACGGGUGAGUAACACGUGAGUGAUCUGCCCCCAACUUGGGUAUAAGCCUGGGAAACUGGGUCUAAUUCCCGAUAGGACUGCAGGGUGGUGCCUGUGGUGGAAAACGAUUUUCUAGUGGUUGGGGAUGAGCUCGCGGCCUAUCAGCUUGUUGGUGGGGUAAUGGCCUACCAAGGCGGCGACGGGUAGCCGGCCUGAGAGGGUGGACGGCCGCAUUGGGACUGGGAUACGGCCCAGACUCCUACGGGAGGCAGCGGUGGGGAAUAUUGCACAAUGGGCGGAAGCCUGAUGCAGCGACGCCGCGUGGGGGAUGACGGCCUUCGGGUUGUAAACUCCUUUCGACCGCGAGGAAGCCACCUGGUUGGAAGGGUGGUGACGGUAGUGGUAGAAGAAGCACCGGCUAACUACGUG
rnacentral:rRNA from 1 species